rnacentral:rRNA from 1 species
AACGGAGGGGGCUAGCGUUGUUCGGAAUUACUGGGCGUAAAGCGCACGUAGGCGGCUUUGUAAGUUAGAGGUGAAAGCCCGGAGCUCAACUCCGGAAUAGCCUUUAAGACUGCAUCGCUAGAACGUUGGAGAGGUAAGUGGAAUUCCGAGUGUAGAGGUGAAAUUCGUAGAUAUUCGGAAGAACACCAGUGGCGAAGGCGAGUCCCUGGACAACUCCUGACACUGAGGCACGAAAGCUAGGGGAGCAAACAGG